CUGGCUUUUCGAGCAUGUGCUCGUCUGUCAUCUUUAUCUCUCCACCUGUGCACAUUUUGUAGUCUUGGAUACCUCUCGAGGCAACUCGGAUUUUAGGAUCGCUGUGCUGUACAAGUCGGCUUUUCUUUCAUUUCCAAGACUAUGUUUUUAUUAUACACCAAAGUAUGUUUAAAGAAUGUCAUCAAUAGGAACUUGUUUCCUAUAAAAAUAUACAACUUUCAGCAACGGAUCUCUUGGCUCUCGCAUCGAUGAAGAACGCAGCGAAAUGCGAUAAGUAAUGUGAAUUGCAGAAUUCAGUGAAUCAUCGAAUCUUUGAACGCACCUUGCGCUCCUUGGUAUUCCGAGGAGCAUGCCUGUUUGAGUGUCAUUAAAUUCUCAACCUUCCAACUUUUAUUAGCUUGGUUAGGCUUGGAUGUGGGGGUUGUGGGCUUCAUUAAUGAGGUCGGCUCUCCUUAAAUGCAUUAGCGGAACUUUUGUGGACCGUCUAUUGGUGUGAUAAUUAUCUACGCCGUGGAUGUGAAGCAGCUUUAUGAAGUUCUGCUUCUAACCGUCC
rnacentral:rRNA from 1 species